rnacentral:rRNA from 1 species
CCUACGGGGGGCAGCAGUGAGGAAUAUUGGUCAAUGGGCGCGAGCCUGAACCAGCCAAGUAGCGUGAAGGAUGACUGCCCUACGGGUUGUAAACUUCUUUUAUAAAGGAAUAAAGUGAGGCACGUGUGCCUUUUUGUAUGUACUUUAUGAAUAAGGAUCGGCUAACUCCGUGCCAGCAGCGGCGGUAAUACGGAGGAUCCGAGCGUUAUCCGGAUUUAGUGGGUUUAAAGGGAGCGUAGAUGGGUUGUUAAGUCAGUUGUGAAAGUUUGGGGCUCAACCGUAAAAUUGCAAUUGAUACUGGCAGUCUUGAGUACUGUUGAGGUAGACGGAAUUCGUGGUGUAGCGGUGAAAUGCUUAGAUAUCACGAAGAACUCCAAUGGCGAAGGCAGCUUGCUAGACUGCCACUGACAUUGAUGCGCGAAAGUGUGGGGAUCAAACAGGAUUAGAUACCCCUGUAGUC